rnacentral:rRNA from 1 species
GAUGAACGCUGGCGGCGUGCCUAAUACAUGCAAGUCGAGCGAACGGACGAGAAGCUUGCUUCUCUGAUGUUAGCGGCGGACGGGUGAGUAACACGUGGAUAACCUACCUAUAAGACUGGGAUAACUUCGGGAAACCGUAGCUAGUACCGGAUAAUAUUUUGAACCGCAUGGUUCAAAAGUGAAAGACGGUCUUGCUGUCACUUAUAGGUGGAUCCGCGCUGCAUUAGCUAGUUGGUAAGGUAACGGCUUACCAAGGCAACGAUGCAUAGCCGACCUGAGAGGGUGAUCGGCCACACUGGAACUGAGACACGGUCCAGACUCCUACGGGAGGCAGCAGUAGGGAAUCUUCCGCAAAGGGCGAAAGCCUGACGGAGCAACGCCGCGUGAGUGAUGAAGGUCUUCGGAUCGUAAAACUCUGUUAUUAGGGAAGAACAUAUGUGUAAGUAACUGUGCACAUCUUGACGGUACCUAAUCAGAAAGCCACGGCUAACUACGUG